rnacentral:rRNA from 1 species
UUCCUACGGGGGGCUGCAGUGAGGAAUAUUGGUCAAUGGGCGCAAGCCUGAACCAGCCAUCCCGCGUGCAGGAAGAAGGCGCUAUGCGUUGUAAACUGCUUUUGCAGGGGAAGAAAAACUCCGACGUGUCGGGGCUUGACAGUACCCUGUGAAUAAGCAUCGGCUAACUCCGUGCCAGCAGCCGCGGUAAUACGGAGGAUGCGAGCGUUAUCCGGAUUCAUUGGGUUUAAAGGGUGCGCAGGCGGGCUGGUAAGUCAGUGGUGAAAUUUUGCAGCUUAACUGUAAACGUGCCAUUGAUACUGCCGGUCUUGAGUUUGGUCAAGGUAGGCGGAAUGUGUAAUGUAGCGGUGAAAUGCUUAGAUAUUACACAGAACACCGAUUGCGAAGGCAGCUUACUGGGCCACGACUGACGCUCAUGCACGAAAGCGUGGGGAGCAAACAGGAUUAGAUACCCUUGUAGUC